rnacentral:tRNA from 1 species
GGAGAGGUGUCCGAGUGGUUUAAGGUGCUGCUCUCGAAAAGCAGUGUGCUGUCAAAGGCACCGCGGGUUCGAAUCCCGCCCUCUCCG